rnacentral:rRNA from 1 species
ACACUCCUGCGGGAGGCAGCAGUGGGGAAUAUUGCACAAUGGGCGCAAGCCUGAUGCAGCCAUGCCGCGUGUAUGAAGAAGGCUUUCGGGUUGUAAAGUACUUUCAGCGGGGAGGAAGGCGAUAAGGUUAAUAACCUUGUCGAUUGACGUUACCCGCAGAAGAAGCACCGGCUAACUCCGUGCCAGCAGCCGCGGUAAUACGGAGGGUGCAAGCGUUAAUCGGAAUUACUGGGCGUAAAGCGCACGCAGGCGGUCUGUCAAGUCGGAUGUGAAAUCCCCGGGCUCAACCUGGGAACUGCAUUCGAAACUGGCAGGCUAUAGUCUUGUAGAGGGGGGUAGAAUUCCAGGUGUAGCGGUGAAAUGCGUAGAGAUCUGGAGGAAUACCGGUGGCGAAGGCGGCCCCCUGGACAAAGACUGACGCUCAGGUGCGAAAGCGUGGGGAGCAAACAGGAUUAGAAACCCGGGUAGUCCC